rnacentral:rRNA from 1 species
GACGAACGCUGGCGGCGUGCUUAACACAUGCAAGUCGAACGGAAAGGCCCUGCUUUUGUGGGGUGCUCGAGUGGCGAACGGGUGAGUAACACGUGAGUAACCUGCCCUUGACUUUGGGAUAACUUCAGGAAACUGGGGCUAAUACCGGAUAGGAGCUCCUGCUGCAUGGUGGGGGUUGGAAAGUUUCGGCGGUUGGGGAUGGACUCGCGGCUUAUCAGCUUGUUGGUGGGGUAGUGGCUUACCAAGGCUUUGACGGGUAGCCGGCCUGAGAGGGUGACCGGGCACAUUGGGACUGAGAUACGGCCCAGACGCCAACGGGAGGCAGCAGUGGGGAAUAUUGCGCAAUGGGCGGAAGCCUGAUGCAGCAACGCCGCGUGCGGGAUGACGGCCUUCGGGUUGUAAACCGCUUUCGCCUGAGACGAAGCGUGAGUGACGGUAAUGGGUAAAGAAGCACCGGCUAACUACGUG